AUUGAACGCUGGCGGCAUGCCUUACACAUGCAAGUCGAACGGCAGCACGGGAGCAAUCCUGGUGGCGAGUGGCGAACGGGUGAGUAAUGCAUCGGAACGUACCCGGAAGUGGGGGAUAACGUAGCGAAAGUUACGCUAAUACCGCAUAUUCUGUGAGCAGGAAAGCGGGGGAUCGCAAGACCUCGCGCUUCCGGAGCGGCCGAUGUCGGAUUAGCUAGUUGGCGGGGUAAAGGCCCACCAAGGCUACGAUCGUUAGGGGGCCUGAGAGGGUUAUCCCCCACACUGGUACUGAGACACGGACCAGACUCCUACGGGAGGCAGCAGUGAGGAAUAUUGCGCAAUGGAGGCAACUCUGACGCAGCCAUGCCGCGUGCAGGAAGAAGGCGCUACGCGUUGUAAACUGCUUUUACCCGGGAAGAAACCCCUNUACGUGUGGAGGGUUCGACGGUACCGGAGGAAUAAGCACCGGCUAACUUCGUGCCAGCAGCCGCGGUAAAGU
rnacentral:rRNA from 1 species